rnacentral:rRNA from 1 species
CUCAGUUCGGACUGGAGUCUGCGACCCGACUCCACGAAGCUGGAUUCGCUAGUAAUCGCGCAUCAGCCACGGCGCGGUGAAUACGUUCCCGGGCCUUGUACACACCGCCCGUCAAGCCAUGGGAGCCGGGGGUACCUGAAGUGCGUAACCGCGAGGAGCGCCCUAGGGUAAAACUGGUGACUGGGGCUAAGUCGUAACAAGGUAUC